GUGCUAGCUUCAGCAGCACAUAUACUAAAAUUGGAAUGAUAUGGAGAAAAUUAGCCCCUGCGCCAAGGAUGAUAUGCAAAUUCAUGAAGAGUUCCAUAUUUUU